ACAAAGGUUCCUGGUUCGAUUCCCGUUUGGGAUGAAAAUUUCAGGAACUCAAUUUUCGGCUCUCCCUUGACACCAUUUGCGAGUAUGGUCAUGAGGAAACGAUGAUAGUCCGUCGGACGGGGACGAUAAAUGGCUGGCCCGUGUUAAGAGAGAGCCAUAUCUCUUGCACGUUAAAGACACCCUUGUAGAUUUCGAAAAAGAGUAGGCUAAUGCCGCUACAAGGCAGCACUCGCACCCGCAAAGUGGAAAGGGAUUAAUAUAAGUUGUAAAACUUGUUUCCCAAUCCACUAUAAAUAAAUAUGUUUAAACUAAACUAAA
rnacentral:lncRNA from 1 species